UCUCUCUCUCCCAAACUUGCUGACAUUUGAACUCUAUUGCUUGCUGUGCUGCUGAGAUCCCUCCGCGCCUGUGAUGCGGUUGCACUGCACUUUUGCAUUCCUUGCUAACAAUUUAGGAAGGGGGUCCCAAACUGUUUUCUGUUCCUGAACUCCUACUCCCCCUCCUUUUUUUUAAACUUCUCCCUAGGAAUUAAAAAGGCAGGUUAUAAUUAAAAAUAAAGGGUAAGCCUGACACCUGAGUCAAUAUACCAUAGGCUCCCAGUUUCUUUCUUUAUUACCCUUUUUUAGGCUGAAAUUAGAUAUUUGUAUGUAGCUGAUAAAUGUUCUUAUGGACACCUGCGCAUAUGGGGCAGUCCUUGUCUGAUCUGAUGGUCUGGUUACGGUGGCUUAAAGUGGGGAGGGACAUUUUGCACAAGAGGGGGGUCUUUUAAAUUUUGGACCAUGAAAUUCUGCGUUUUGCCCAAUAGGCUGAAGACAGUUCAUGUCUCAACGGGAGAUUUCAAAAGGGUAAAAAAAAUAAAAAAAA